rnacentral:rRNA from 1 species
CAGCCGCCGCGGUAAUACGUAGGUCCCGAGCGUUGUCCGGAUUUAUUGGGCGUAAAGCGAGCGCAGGCGGUUAGAUAAGUCUGAAGUGAAAGGCAGUGGCUCAACCAUUGUAGGCUUUGGAAACUGUUUAACUUGAGUGCAGAAGGGGAGAGUGGAAUUCCAUGUGUAGCGGUGAAAUGCGUAGAGAUGUGGAGGAACACCAGUGGCGAAGGCGACUCUCUGGUCUGUAACUGACGCUGAGGAGCGAAAGCGUGGGGAGCGAACAGGAUUAGAUACCCGCGUAGUCCCUGUCUCUUAUACC